rnacentral:rRNA from 1 species
GACGAACGCUGGCGGCGUGCUUAACACAUGCAAGUCGAACGGAAAGGCCCUGCUUUUGUGGGGUGCUCGAGUGGCGAACGGGUGAGUAACACGUGAGUAACCUGCCCUUGACUUUGGGAUAACUUCAGGAAACUGGGGCUAAUACCGGAUAGGAGCUCCUGCUGCAUGGUGGGGGUUGGAAAGUUUCGGCGGUUGGGGAUGGACUCGCGGCUUAUCAGCUUGUUGGUGGGGUAGUGGCUUACCAAGGCUUUGACGGGUAGCCGGCCUGAGAGGGUGACCGGGCACCUGUGGGACUGAGAUAGGGCACAGCCCCCGCGGGGGGGAGGAAGGGGGAAAUUUUGAACAAUGGGGGGAGGCUGGAUGCGGCAACCCCGGGUGGGGGAGGGGGCCUUUGGGUUUGAAACCCGUUUCCCCCUGGGAGGAGGUGGGAGUGAGGGAAGGGGAUAAAAAGCCCCGGGCAAGCUACGGG